CUGGCGUGCUGUGAUUCAUGGGGUCGCAAAGAGUUGGACACGACUGAGCGACUGAACUGAACUGAACUGAUAACACACCAAACAGGAAUCUGGGUUAUUGUGACAAGGGGCACAAAACUUGUGACCUUACUGUAAACAAACACCCAACACGU
ensembl:snoRNA Small nucleolar RNA SNORA11